CUGACGAGUCCCAAAUAGGACGAAACGAGCGUC
rnacentral:hammerhead_ribozyme from 1 species